AACGAACGCUGGCGGCAUGCCUAACACAUGCAAGUCGAGCGAGACCUUCGGGUCUAGUGGCGCACGGGUGCGUAACGCGUGGGAACCUGCCCUUAGGUUCGGCAUAACUCCCCGACAGGGGUGCUAAUACCGGAUAAUGUCUUCGGACCAAAGAUUUAUCGCCUUUGGAUGGGCCCGCGUUGGAUUAGCUAGUUGGUAGGGUAAAAGCCUACCAAGGCGACGAUCCAUAGCUGGUCUGAGAGGCAGAUCAGCCACACUGGGACUGAGACACGGCCCAGACUCCUACGGGAGGCAGCAGUGGGGAAUAUUGGACAAUGGGCGAAAGCCUGAUCCAGCAAUGCCGCGUGAGUGAUGAAGGCCUUAGGGUUGUAAAGCUCUUUUACCCGGGAUGAUAAUGACAGUACCGGGAGAAUAAGCUCCGGCUAACUCCGUG
rnacentral:rRNA from 1 species